ACAGUAAGCCGCCCUACCCGGCGCUGCUAGUCUCCUCAGGGAGGCGACAUGCUUAAUGUGCGGAGAGCCCCUCUCUCGGGAGGGCAAUCCGCAGUUACCCUAGGGUAAUUCAGAGACUCAAUAAGCAUGGGUUCAGCGCUGUCUGAGCUUGCGAUAGAGCCCGUCCUCGCCGGCAAUGGCGGGGGUUCAACGGAACCUGCGGAAGGAUCAUUAUAGAGUACCCUGGGCUUCGGCCCGCUAUUCUCACCCUUUGUUUACCACACUUUAGUUGCCUUGGCGCCUCGCGCCAGUGGAUCGAAACCCUAGAAUUAUUGCUGUCUGAGUACUAUAUAAUAGUUAAAACUUUCAACAACGGAUCUCUUGGUUCUGGCAUCGAUGAAGAACGCAGCGAAAUGCGAUAAGUAAUGUGAAUUGCAGAAUUCAGUGAAUCAUCGAAUCUUUGAACGCACAUUGCACCCCCUGGUAUUCCGGGGGGUAUGCCUGUUCGAGCGUCAUUACAACCCUCAAGCCUCGGCUUGGUGUUGGGCUCGCCCUGUAGGGCCUGCCUCAAAAUCAGUGGCGGCCACAGCCCGACCUUCAGCGCAGUAAUGCUCGCCGCUGCAAGGAGAGGCCUCUGGCGCCAUGCCAACCCCCACCACACAAGGUUGACCUCGGAUCAGGUAGGGAUACCCGCUGAACUUAAGCAUAUCAAUAAGCGGAGGA
rnacentral:rRNA from 1 species